rnacentral:pre_miRNA from 1 species
AGUGGAAUUGCUGGGUCAUAUGGUAACUCUUGGUUUAACUGUUUGAGGAACUGCCAAACUGUUUUCUAAAGUGGUUGCAGCAUUUUACAUUCCCACCAGCAGU